rnacentral:lncRNA from 1 species
CCUGUGCAGGAAUUGGGGCGUUGGGGAGCCCCCUAGCAUGUGGGGCACUUACCUUGGGGAUUUAAGGCCAGUGAACUGGAGCGUGAUUAGCUGACUUAGGGAGCUCCAGAGGGUCGAUGAGUGGAUGGCGAAGGAAGGCCUCUUAGAUCCAAACGUCAAGUCAGUUUUUGUCACCUGCGGAGACUCGACUUAAAAGUCAUGGAAGGAAGGGUCUAUGAAUGCUCCACCACAAGGGCCAGGAGAAGCCUUGAUGACACGGAGCGGGCACCUGCAGAUGAUAGGCAUUCUGCCCUGGACUCCUUGGGACACAGCAGCCUGCAAAGCAACCUUCUAAUUGGCUGGCAGCAGCAGGUGAGCCCUUCUCCCCCCCCCCGCCAUCUCUCAGAGAACUGGGCAUUCUAAGAGGGCUGGGGAAGGAUCGAGGGCAGGCGCUAAAGUGGGCUUUCUUUCC